rnacentral:rRNA from 1 species
AGAGUUUGAUCCUGGCUCAGGACGAACGCGGCGGCGUGCUUAACACAUGCUUACGAGAAAAGGGUAGCAAUAUCUGAGUAAAGUGGCGCACGGGUGAGUAACACGUAGGCAAUCUGCCUUUAGGACGGGAACAACCUCGAGAAAUCGAGGCUAAUACCCGAUGAAGCAGCGGCACCGCAUGGUGACAGUUGUUAAAGUUUCGAUGACCUAGGAUGAGCAUGCGUCCCAUUAGGUAGUUGGUGAGGUAACGGCUCACCAAGCCCGCGAUGGGUAGCUGGUCUGAGAGGAUGAUCAGCCACACUGGGACUGAGACACGGCCCAGACUCCUACGGGAGGCAGCAGUGAGGAAUAUUGCGCAAUGGAGGAAACUCUGACGCAGCAACGCCGCGUGCGGGAUGAAGGCUCACGGGUCGUAAACCCCUUUUCUCAGGGAAGAAAAAAAUGACGGUACUUGAGGAAUAAGCAUCGGCCAACUACGUGCCAGCAGCCGCGGUAAUACGUAGGAUGCAAGCGUUAUCCGGAUUUACUGGGCGUAAAGAGCGCGCGGGCGGUCCUUUAAGUUAGAUGUGAAAACUCUCAGCUUAACUGAGAGAGGCCAUUUAAUACUGGGGGGCUUGAGUCCUGGAGAGGGUAGCGGAAUUCCCGGUGUAGCGGUGAAAUGCGUAGAGACCGGGAAGAACACCAGUGGCGAAGGCGGCUACCUGGACAGGUACUGACGCUGAAGCGCGAAAGCUAGGGGAGCAAACAGGAUUAGAUACCCUGGUAGUC